rnacentral:ncRNA from 1 species
CAGCGGGACACUCCUCCCCAACGAGGAGCGACUAUCUGUAAGGGUACUACAA